AUAGGUCACAAUCCAAAUUUGCUUUUUUGUAUUUUUUCUUUUGUUUUUUAUAUGUUUUCUUUUAUUUUUUGUAAAUAUUCAUAUUUUGUUUAUAUUUUCAUAAUUUUGUAAAUACUCGUAAAUUUGUAAAUAAUUAUGCUUUAACCCUAGUUUAAAUGUAAAUAUCUUAAUAUGUAAAUACAAUCCCUUUCCCCCUAUCCUUCGAUACCACUUACCCUUAAUACAACAAAUGAAUUAAAUAAAAAGAAAAUGAAUUUGUAAAUAUAAAUAAUUUAAAUUUGAAUUUGAAACCCUUCCUAUAAAACCUCUGGUAUCGCCAUUCCCUUUUAUGCACAAAAAAACAUGGCGCGAGAUACCAACCAUACGGAAGCAAAACUCUCCCGGGAAAUGUUCCGUAUACUAUGCUUCGUCAUGACUUCGAAAAGUGAAUUUUGCAUAUAAGGCGAUGCAAGAGGAGCCAAAGGAUCUUUCCGGAACAAAAUUCCUCUAAUUUCGUGUGUGACCAAUCAGCAUACAAUUUGGUUUCUUGGUGCCAGAGUGUUCAGCGAAGUGGUCGGAAUAUCGACGAGUGCCCGAGCGUUCAAGCCCAGCUGGAAAAAUCCCGUAACCAAAAGGUCGAAAAACGGUUUCUCACCCGUCAGCAGUAUCUACAAGUCUGACCGACUGCCGCCGAGAAGUAGUCAACCCGGUCGUAGCCAAUAGGUCGAACAUCCUCGGCCGGCGAGUAAUCUACGCAGCUGGUGUGGUCAGGUGAAUUUUUGUGCAAUCCCUCAUAAUCCGUUUAAAAGAAAUCCUUGUAAAUAUAUAAUACAUUUAACCCUUUAAUUUAAAAUCAAUAUA